rnacentral:rRNA from 2 species
CCAAGAAGUCCAACACGUGCGCGAGUCAUUGGGUCUUACGAAACCUAAAGGCGUAAUGAAGGUGAAGGCGAGUUUGGCUCGUCGAGGUGAGAUCCUCGCUCGUCGGUGGGUGAGGCGCAUCACCGGCCCGUCCUCUCGGGGGCGGAGCAAGAGCGCACCUGUUGGGACCCGAAAGAUGGUGAACUAUGCCUGAGCAGGACGAAGCCAGAGGAAACUCUGGUGGAAGUCCGCCGCGAUUCUGACGUGCAAAUCGAUCGUCUAACUUGGGUAUAGGGGCGAAAGACUAAUCGAACCAUCUA